rnacentral:rRNA from 1 species
AUUGAACGCUGGCGGCAUGCCUUACACAUGCAAGUCGAACGGUAACAGGUCUUCGGAUGCUGACGAGUGGCGAACGGGUGAGUAAUACAUCGGAACGUGCCUAGUAGUGGGGGAUAACUACUCGAAAGAGUGGCUAAUACCGCAUGAAAUCUACGGAUGAAAGCAGGGGAUCGCAAGACCUUGUGCUACUAGAGCGGCCGAUGGCAGAUUAGGUAGUUGGUGGGAUAAAAGCUUACCAAGCCGACGAUCUGUAGCUGGUCUGAGAGGACGAUCAGCCACACUGGGACUGGGACACGGCCCAGACUCCUACGGGAGGCAGCAGUGGGGAAUUUUGGACAAUGGGCGCAAGCCUGAUCCAGCAAUGCCGCGUGCAGGAUGAAGGCCUUCAGGUUGUAAACUGCUUUUGUACGGAACGAAAAGCCUUGGGUUAAUACCCUGGGGUCAUGACGGUACCGUAAGAAUAAGCACCGGCUAACUACGUGCCAGCAGCCGCCGUAAAAC